UAUGCUACAUACGGAUAAGCCA
rnacentral:siRNA from 1 species